UUAAUUGAAGCCAAAACAGAGGCCUUUCAUUGUUAAUGAAAUUAAUGAUUAAUAAUUAAUCCAAUUAAA
rnacentral:tRNA from 1 species